rnacentral:rRNA from 1 species
GAUGAACGCUGGCGGCGUGCUUAACACAUGCAAGUCGAACGGGGAACACGGAGCUUGCUCUGUGGGAUCAGUGGCGAACGGGUGAGUAACACGUGAGCAACCUGCCCCUGACUCUGGGAUAAGCGCUGGAAACGGCGUCUAAUACUGGAUAUGUGACGUGACCGCAUGGUCUGCGUUUGGAAAGAUUUUUCGGUUGGGGAUGGGCUCGCGGCCUAUCAGCUUGUUGGUGAGGUAAUGGCUCACCAAGGCGUCGACGGGUAGCCGGCCUGAGAGGGUGACCGGCCACACUGGGACUGAGACACGGCCCAGACUCCUACGGGAGGCAGCGGUGGGGAAUAUUGCACAAUGGGCGCAAGCCUGAUGCAGCAACGCCGCGUGGGGGAUGACGGCCUUCGGGUUGUAAACCUCUUUUAGCAGGGAAGAAGCGAAAGUGACGGUACCUGCAGAAAAAGCGCCGGCUAACUACGUG